UAGGGAAUCUUCGGCAAUGGGGGCAACCCUGACCGAGCAACGCCGCGUGAGUGAAGAAGGUUUUCGGAUCGUAAAGCUCUGUUGUAAGUCAAGAACGAGUGUGAGAGUGGAAAGUUCACACUGUGACGGUAGCUUACCAGAAAGGGACGGCUAACUACGUGCCAGCAGCCGCGGUAAUACGUAGGUCCCGAGCGUUGUCCGGAUUUAUUGGGCGUAAAGCGAGCGCAGGCGGUUUGAUAAGUCUGAAGUUAAAGGCUGUGGCUCAACCAUAGUUCGCUUUGGGAAAUGACACAGUUGAGUGCAGAAGGGGAGAGUGGAAUUCCAUGUGUAGCGGUGAAAUGCGUAGAUAUAUGGAGGAACACCGGUGGCGAAAGCGGCUCUCUGGUCUGUAACUGACGCUGAGGCUCGAAAGCGUGGGGAGCGAACAGGAUUAGAUACCCUGGUAGUCCACGCCGUAACGAUGAGUGCUAGGUGUUGGAUCCUUUCCGGGAUUCAGUGCCGCAGCUACGCANUAAGCACUCCGCCUGGGGAGUACGACCGCAAGGUU
rnacentral:rRNA from 1 species